AUACGGAGGAUCCGAGCGUUAUCCGGAUUUAUUGGGUUUAAAGGGUGCGCAGGCGGCCAUUUAAGUCAGCGGUUAAAUCGUGGGGCUCAACCCCAUUCUGCCGUUGAUACUGGGUGGCUUGAUUGCGGUCGAGGUUGGCGGAAUUCGUUGUGUAGCAGUGAAAUGCAUAGAUAUGACGAAGAACACCGAUUGCGUAGGCAGCUGACCAGACCGCAAAUGACGCUCAUGCACGAAAGUGCGGGGAUCGAACAGGAUUAGAUACCCUGGUAGUCCGCACAGUAAACGAUGAAUACUUGUUUUCGGCGAUAUAAUGUCGGAGGCAAAGCGAAAGCGAUAAGUAUUCCACCUGGGGAGUACGCCGGCAACGGUGAAACUCAAAGGAAUUGACGGGG
rnacentral:rRNA from 1 species